ensembl:lncRNA
CCUACCUGUGUUCUCCUGAUGCUCCUGAGAUCUCCAAAUAUGCAGAGUGAACAUAAACUAGAUCGAUCUUGGCUCUUGUCCUGCAUUUCCAGCAUGUUCCAGAGACCUUUUCAGUGCUGAAAUAGCUCCUGUCUGCUCAGGGCAGGAAGCUCAAGGUUGCUCUUCAGGGGCACUGCCAGCCCUGCGCAGACCUUGCUGCUCUUUGUAGGGUCAAGGUGGGUCUCUAGGCACAGGUUGCGGUGUGUUCUGAAUGAGCAGCAGUUCCACCAUGCUGUGGGAAGCAAACACCUACACCCAUUCCUUGCACACCAUGCCCAUGGAGCCAGCACGCCUGAAAGGCACAGCCUCCCUGCCGGGAAGUGCCAGAGUGCCCAGACGGAUGCAGGGAUGGAGCAGACUGCCCAGAGGUGCAUGGCUUUAGAGUCCUGGUCCAGCGUGCAGGUCCAUCGCCUCCUGAAGAAGUUCAGAGCGAGCAGGUCCAGGCUUGGCAGAGUGAGAAAUAGAAAAGAAAACGAGGGGGACAGUGUGGAAGGGGUGGCUGGCUUCUCAUUAAGGAGCAUUUCAGCUGCUGGUCUGAAGGAAGACUUUGAAAAGAAAGCGCAGAGCCCUCCUGGCAGGGCAGCGAGCCCAGCUGCCCUCCCCACGUCUCACUUUUUAUAAAUUCUGGGAAACACUUUUAGACAGACACUGGCACUCAUAAAUUAUACAACUCAUUUGCAUAUUCCAGUCAUGAGACAUUAUGCAAAUGUGACCUGAUUUGCAUAAUGGAUUCCUCUCGUCGCUUCACUUGCUUCAUGCUUUUAAAAAACAAAAUGAAAUAAAAUGAAAGCACAAGAAGGUGGAAGCGAUGAGUUCCCAGCCCCGCCGCGUCUCCUCCCAACCGCACCGUCAUUCACCAGCAGAGACCGGGGCGAGGGAGAGCGAAAGCGAAAAAACAAAGCCCUCACAUGGUGUAUUUCGCCUGUAAUUACGACCAUCUAACUUUCCCCUGGUUGAGAUUCUUCACCCCAAGUGACAUAUCGGAGCCAACCGAGGAAACAAAAAAUGCCCUGGAAAACAGGAUAAGCAGAAAAGGGCAGCGUUCCCCAGGCUCCCCGCCCCAGCACCUCCAGCUUGCGCGGAUGGGAGCCCCGCCACGCGGCCGAGCUGCCCUCCUGCUGCCCCUCCAGCAGAGCCCGUGCAGCCAUUGAGCGCAGAGGGGAGGGAGCAUUGGGACUGUUUGUCGCAAAACAUGAUGGUGACAUCUUGGGAAGGAUGAGACGGGCGCACAUCAGCUUCCUUCCGCCGUGCUCCAAAGACAGAGCCUCUGCAGCCACCCAGCUCUGCUGUGGGCGCAUCCCUGCCCCCCUGCACCGCACGAGCGGCAGCGCCGUGCCAGGCGGCUGUACCCUGUGGGAAAAGUUAACUGUAAUUCUUCAGCUUUUAAAAUCAAUUAACCCGUGUGUUAAUUAACGUCAAGUCGACGGGAGGAGGAGGAGGAGGGGAGAGAGGGAGGGAGGAGGGAAGAAAAAAAAGCUGCAAGGGCGGAUGGCAGAAGAGUUGGCACAGUGCCAUCCAUUCAGUGGCAACGCCACAGUUCCGUGUGAUAACGGCAGCGGGUAUAUGUUACGGGGGCCCUGUGCGCGGGCCAGACAGUGCGGUAACGCUAAGGGAGAUUAUCCAGACCCCCAGGAGCAAGCGGCGCGCAGCGAGCAGAGGCGCAAGUGCCAGGAUUACAGACGAGGCUCUCCGCCGCCAGCCCUGCCUUGGACACGCUCGGCUAUGGGCACAGCACGCCGGCUUCCAGCACGUUUCCCCCUUGAACGUCAUUCUGCCGCAGUGGAGCCAGCACAACGGAUGCUUUCACACCCCGCGAGACAAAGGCCGUCGUCUCCGCCAUGACACCGCGCCGCUCCAUGCCGAGGCCGGCAUCUUGGAGGCUUCAAAAAUAAAGGGAAAUCGGCAACGCGGACAAUAAAAACGGCAAAAGAAAAAGGCUUGGCAACAACCCCCUCAUGCCCGCUCGCCGUGCCAGGGGCAACAUGGGCAUCUGUCGCAGCAGAAGUGCCAUCUGAGGCUGUACCAACGCGGGCGACGGACAGUGCCAUUCGCCAUUCGGACAAGCUGAGGGAGAGGUGCCAGCCCUGCAGCUCGGGAGGGACCCGAGAGGGGAGCACGAAGGUCUCCAAACAGCACGCCGAGGGAAGGAAGGAAUACCGCUCUCAUAGGGCAGGAUCACAGCUGCACACAGCCUCUGCUGGGAGGAGAGGGAAUGUUUGUAGAUAGCGAGAUGCCUGUGUAUGCACAUACACACAGAGCAGUGUGCGUGUGGACACACAUACACACAUGCACACAAUGCCUCAGAUAAUUGCAGAUUAGAAGUAUGAGUGUGUGUGCGUGUGUGCGGAGAUGUGUGUGUACUGUGUGCACACAUACAUGUGCGGGGAUAUAUAUCUGUGUGCACGCAUGUAAUAUGCGUACAUACACGUGUGAGGAGAUGUACGUUUGUGUGCUUGGGAGAGACAAAUUCACACACGCACACGCAUCCACACAGUGUGAGCAUACAUCCCACUUUUUGACCUAGGUAUACACGGAAGACAAAAUAAAAAUCAUACUCCAGCAGCAAGCAGGCAGUCAGAGAUUUAUCUACAUUCACUGCUAUCACCAGGGAGAUGAAUGGGGCCGAUCUGAAGCCCUUUGCAAGAUCCACUAUAGGAGUGAAGGAGGAGGAGGGAUGCCACACAGACAUGCACAAACUUGAAGACAGAGAGAUUUGGAAGGUGCUACUUGUGAAACCCAGGUGGCACUCCGGAGGGUGAGCGAGGGAAAGAGCCGCACACACUCUGCAGGGGCCGGAGGGCUUUUGGAAGAGGGCGUCAAGGGACAGCUGGCUACUUACGUUGUGUUGUCUGCGCUGCUGAGGAUCCUGCAAGGUGUUCUGUUGGCACCGGGCGCUGAGCCAGGGAAGGGCACUGGAAACAAAAGGGAGAGACAAAAAAUAAAGUCACACAGCGGGAAUAUUAAUUGCCUCUCUUGCGGAUUUUACAAAACACACAAAAUGUUUUCUUCUUGCUGUUCCUUUUUUUUUUUUUUUUUUUUUUUUUUUUUUUUUUUGUGGAUUGGCGCGAUUCCCCUCUGCGUGGAAAAUACUAGCAUGGGAUUUACAGCCCAGCUACAGGGCUCGGGAUUAACAGCGCUGGCAUCUUUUGGGCAUAUUUUUUCUGUUAAUGAAUGAGCUUUCGCUGUUAAUGAGGAAUAAUCGUUUGGCUAAUGAGCUUUGAAACAUUAAGAGAAAAGAGGGUUUUUUUCCCGUUAAUCGCCCUGGUGCGACCGCAUGGAUGGAUUACAAAAGACAGCAGUAGGAACGCAGUACAAAGGGGGGGAAACGUCUCCUGGAGUGGGAUAAAUGCAGAGAUGGGUGAUGUGUCCCCGCAUCUCUCCUUCCUUCCCUUCCCUCUCUCUCUGCCAACUGCUAUGGGUUUCCAUAACUCCGCAAUCAAAGUGGAUAUUCGGGAAAGAUUAUUAUAGUCAAACAGCGGAGUGUCGGCUGUUAAUGUCUCCAGUGUUUAAUCAUCAUACAGUAGAAUGGUUUUAUGCAUAUUUCAUUUGCAUAUCAUUAAACUGCAUUAGCACAGGACGUUCAGAGCUGGAGAGGUACAAAGUUGGGGGGAGAGAGAGGGAGAGCGAGAAAGAGGCAGAGGGAGGAAGGUCCCUGUGAUGCCUAUCUUCAAAAGCAGGGACUUGUUCCAUGGUCUGUCUUCUACUUUUCCUAAAAUCAUGGUGACUUGGAAACCUUUGAAGUUGGAUAUAACCUUGGAUUCUUCUAAUUUCAGCAGAGUGAUGUAUUAGAAAGGGGUAAACGAUGCUGCGCUAGACAUUUAAAGGAAUAUAAGCUCCAGUGGAAUGGAAAUAGGAGCUCUUUGGGGAACAGACUGGCAGAGCCAGCUGCGGCUUCAACAAACACCACAUUUCUUGGUUAAUAUUAGUAAAGGAUACCAGAGUAAAACAAAAGAAAUGAAGACAACAUAUACAUUAAGAUGGGGAUUAUAUUUCUCUUUCUCUUGCUUUUCUGUUUUUUUUUUUUUUUUUUUUUGAAGAUAAAAAGGAGGAUGGAACCAGCGGUAAUUUAUGCAUUAAUUAGCAAGCAAUUGCCUCUUGUGUUUGUUUUUCUUCUCUCUUUAUUCUGGAGAGGGGUGUUGUCACUGCCGAAGAGAUUAAUCAAUUAUUUGGUAGUUCAGAUCCUUCUCCACCGGCACCGAUAGGAAUGAGGUGGUGGUGGUUGCGGGGGGAGGAACACAGUGGGCUCUUUGUAGGUCUUAUACAUGCACAACAUAUUAAUUGGGGUCUUUAUAAAGCUCCCUCAAUAGACUGUUUCUUCUGUGGUAAAACAGCAGCUGGUUAGCCACUGUUGGCGACUCUUCAAAUAUCAUUUUUGCUGGGGGCAUUUCUACCGCUGUUUGUUGUUUUGCUUUAUUUUCUUUCCCAAUGGAGGGGGCUGCCCGCGCGAUGCUAUGCUGCCCGCUGGUCUUGAAUGGCAGAAAGAUAGACAAUAUCAAUAUCGAGACGAUCUCUUGAGCUGAAUGCAGAACUUUGCUUCAAAAUGAAAUGCUGUUUUAUAUUUAAAUUUUCCUCCUUCUCCCUCCCCCACGUUUCUUCUCCAAGUCUUUGUCUCGGCUAUGAAUAUUCAGAUGAGCUGUGAUGUGAUUACACUGUACAAUUACUUUCGUCCAUGGUAGUGGCAAAGGCACUGAGGAAAGACAGAGCCAGACAAGCUCAGAGCUCAUUUGGGGUUUGUUUUCUCUAUUUUUGCCCAUCUCUGUAGCGCUGCAGCACAUGCAGAUGUCGCUGUUGUUCUUUAUAAUUCUUUAUAAUGAUAUGCAAAGGCAUAACGACCCCAUUUGGGUGCACAGCAUCAACGAUAUAUUAUUGGGGGGGGGGGGGGG